UCCUUUUCGAUAUCAUUGAUCUCCUGAACUAGUCUUUUCUCUUGAGAUUUAGCAGACCAAUGUUAGUAUUAAUCUUUCAUUCAUAAAAGGCAUUAGCAUUGUUUAUUUAUUAAUUACAUUUACUUUUUCUAACAAGAGUUUGGCUUGUUAUCCAGAAGACAAAAUGAAAAUGAAUGUUUUUGUUCCUCAAGUUUUCUUAAAAAUAGCAAUUCUAAUUCUAAUUCUAUGGUUAUUUCCUCAAUAAGAGAAUAGAGGAUGAAAAGCAUAAGUAAGAGAUAGCUAAAACUAGCCAAAAUAAGGAUCAAAAGCAUAGAACUAAACAUGCAAUUUGGUAUAAUUAUUGGUCAAUUAACAUGUAAGGUCCCUAUGUACUCAAUCACUGUGAAAUAUGUCAUGUAAAUAUAUAUCGAACUAAAGUUGUUCAUCUUACAAAACAAGCAAGUUAUAGGAAGAAAUCAUAAAAAAACAUAUUCAUUUUCAAAACAAUGUCGCAUGACUUGUAUGUGAUUGUCAAAUAUUAUAAGUCUUUUAAAAGACAAUUAUUUAAAAAACUCAUGUAUAUACAAACAUAUAUCUAUUUGGACAGUUAUGUCUAUACGAAGAGACAUAUAUUGUACCGGUUAUGUCUAUAUGAAAGACAUUUAUUUGAAAAAUAAUGUUUAUAAAGUAUAUAUAUUUGCUUAUAAAUAGAAUUCCUCUUAGGUUUGGAAGACACAAAGAGCUCAACCAAUAUUGAAUAAUUAUUUCUUACAUGGAACAAAUUAAAGAAACCCUAUAAGUUUUUUAUCACCAAAUCAGAUAAAUCUAAUUUUACGCUGAAGAAUGCUAAAUGGAUGGAUUUCAUCAAUGAAAACAUAAUGUAUUACCGAAUUCCAUUGUAUUAUGGAGCUUUAUAAAAGUGACAAUAUGACAUUGUUAUAUACCUUGAAAGCUUGAAGACUUUAAUAAUUUCUCAUUUGUUUUAGCAUUUACCAGUAUGCCAUAUCCAAACAUUUUGUCGCACAAAAAAGUAAGAAAUAAUUGAAAGAAACCAAAACUGGCAAUCAGAGAGAAAGCUUACUACAUCAAUCACUAGAGUGAACUCUCUAGGAAGUAAUUCCGGCUUGUUAAAUUAUUUACCAAAGGUGGGAUCAACAACAAAAACUAUAUUUCUAUCUUCUACUUGCCAAUCCUGCAACAAUUUGAGUAUGAGCGGAAGGGAAUAUAGACUCUUUUAUUAACAAAAAGGAAAGGCUUUACAAGAGAGAAAACUAAAAAGUAAAACUAUU
rnacentral:lncRNA from 1 species